rnacentral:tRNA from 1 species
GACCCGGUAGCUCAGUUGGUAGAGCAGCGGACUUUUAAUCCGUAGGUCGAGGGUUCGAUCCCCUCCCGGGUCA